AAACCUUAUGCACACUGGUGCAUAGCCUAACUUGGGGCUUGAACCCAUGAACCAUGAGAUCAUGACCUGAGCUGAAUUCAAGAGCCGGAUGCUUAACCAACUGAGCCACCCAGGCGUCCUGUUGUUAAUCGUUAAGUGCGAUCUGUGGCCAGGAUGUUCCAUCUUCCCAAAACUUGGCUCUUCCCUUGGCUAUGGGAGAUCUUGGCCGGCAUACGUAGCCUUGCUUUCCACCACGUCUGCAGUGCUGUCGUUGGACUUUACUGGGGACAACCAUAUCACACUUUCACAGAAAGCCCCUUUUUCGUUGUGACACGAAGCAAAACAUUUACUCCUGAUCUUCAGGCAUCUGCAAACAGUUUGCCCACAGGAAUGAGCUCCAGUUGCCCUCUGUGGCUAAGGCUUAAGAACAUAGCGCUCAGAACUCUCAGCACCUGGGGGACUCAGCCGGUUAAGCGUCAGACCUCAGCUCAGGUCAUGAUCUCGCAGUUGUGUCUACCCAGAGCAAUCCCACACCUCCAGUUUUGGGAUUCAAAGAUCCCCAUCACCCAUAAAAUCCAUGGCCGGCACCUGCUUUACGACCCACUGGGCUACUGCAUCCAAACACAGAAUUGUUAAACAGCAACAGGACAAGCAGAGCUGAUAGCCUUUAUACAAAGGUGAAGAGGGAGAGAACCCAACUGCUUUAACCAUCCCCCACCAGUUGGCAAGGGGAGGCUAGGCUCCUUCCCUCCAUGUUUGGGUUUCCAAAGAGAUGUCUCCCUCCACUGAAGUUGAUUUUGAGGUGAUUUAUUUGUGAGUCAGAGAUCCCAUAAGUUGAUAAAAUGUUUAAUAUCUCUAUAAAAACCUACAUGGUAAUUUGUCUUUGUACCCAAGCAGUUCCAUUUAGAUUUAUACUCUGCUUAUUAAAGAAUGGAAUCAGGACCCACAGAACCCUCUCUUCCCCUGUUCACGUUGGAACCCACCUCCUCAUCGAAGGCUCCAAUUUCCCUUGCAUAUACUCUGUUUCUGUUUCUUCCUUCCCAUUAUCUGAAAAUAUGUGAUUAUUUCUUUCCCCACCCCAUCUGGCCAUCACCUCACCAACAGCCUGUGCAUCUUCUCUGAGACAAUUGUUUCCAACAGAACAGGGAUCCGGUGGCAUUUUUUUUUUUCUAUAAAGGGCCAAACUGCAAAUAUUUUAGCCUUCGUGGGCUGUACGAUCUCUGUUGUAACUACUCAACCCUGCAAGUAUAUCAUGAAAGCAGCCACAGACAGUAUGUAAACAAAUGAACGUAGCUUUUUCCCAAUAAAACUUUAUUUACAAAAGCAGGCACUGGGCCAGAUUUGGCCCACAGGCUGUAGUUUGUAGAUCCCUGCUCCAGAGCGACAAAAUUAGUCAUCCAUCAUAUCUACUCAAUAAAGUAUUAAAACCUGCCUUGCUUUUUGCAAUAAUUUUUAAAUGUAAUGCCAUGUACACAAGAAUUUCUAUAUUUACAUCUAAAGCUGCUUUGAGACACAGCCAGGGUUGUACUGCAACAUUCUCCAUAUUCACCAUACUUUGUCAAUUGAAAGCAAUAAUUAGGGCCCUCGUAUUCAUGCAUCCAUUUCAUAAAAACCACAUACUGGCCACCAAGGUUACACCCGUUGGUACAUUCAUCAAUGCUUCUUAUUUCACUUUUCUUCUCAUUACAUACAGUAUAAUUUUGUUGACCA